UACGGGGGGGGCAAGCGUUGUUCGGAAUUACUGGGCGUAAAGGGCGCGUAGGCGGCCCUCUAAGUCAGACGUGAAAUCCCUCGGCUCAACCGGGGAACUGCGUCUGAUACUGGAGGGCUUGAAUCCGGGAGAGGGAUGUGGAAUUCCAGGUGUAGCGGUGAAAUGCGUAGAUAUCAGGAAGAACACCCGUGGCUAAGGCGGCUCUCUAGUACGUGACUGACGCUGAGACGCGAAAGCGUGGGGAGCGAACAGG
rnacentral:rRNA from 1 species